GACGAACGCUAGCGGCGCGCCUAAGGUAUGCAAGUCGAACGGGGGGAGCAAUCCCCUAGUGGCGAACGGUCGAGUAACACGUAGACAACCUACCGGGGAGUGGGGGAUAACAGCGGGAAACUGCUGCUAAUACCGCAUGUGGUCAGUAGAGGCCUCUCUACUGCACUAAAGGAGUAAUUCGCUCCCCAAUGGGUCUGCGGCCUAUCAGGUAGUUGGCGGGGUAACGGCCCACCAAGCCGACGACGGGUAGCUGGUCUGAGAGGAUGAUCAGCCGGACGGGGACUGAGACACGGCCCCGACUCCUUCGGGAGGCAGCAAUGAGGAAUCUUGCACAAUGGGGGCAACCCUGAUGCAGCGACGCCGCGU
rnacentral:rRNA from 1 species